rnacentral:rRNA from 1 species
CGAUGGGAGCUUGCUCCCAGGCGUCGAGUGGCGGACGGGUGAGUAAUACUUAGGAAUCUACCCAGUAGCGGGGGACAACUCGAGGAAACUCGAGCUAAUACCGCAUACGCCCUACGGGGGAAAGCAGGGGAUCUUCGGACCUUGCACUAUUGGAUGAGCCUAAGUCGGAUUAGCUUGUUGGUGAGGUAAAGGCUCACCAAGGCAACGAUCCGUAGCUGGUCUGAGAGGACGAUCAGCCACACUGGGACUGAGACACGGCCCAGACUCCUACGGGAGGCAGCAGUGGGGAAUAUUGGACAAUGGGGGCAACCCUGAUCCAGCAAUGCUGCGUGUGUGAAGAAGGCCUGCGGGUUGUAAAGCACUUUCAGUAGAGAAGAAAAGCCUACGGUUAAUACCCGUGAGUCUUGACGUUACCUACAGAAGAAGCUCCGGCUAACUCCGUGCCAGCAGCCGCGGUAAUACGGAGGGAGCGAGCGUUAAUCGGAAUUACUGGGCGUAAAGCGCGCGUAGGCGGCUUUGUAAGUCGGAUGUGAAAGCCCUGGGCUCAACCU